GCGGCAGAUGUGUAUAAGAGACAGGUGAGUCAUCGAAUCUUUGAACGCACAUUGCGCCCCUUGGUAUUCCGGGGGGCAUGCCUGUUCGAGCGUCAUUAUAACCCUCAAGCCUAGCUUGGUGUUGGAGCAUGCCCUCUAGCAGCUCUUAAAACCAGUGGCAGUGCCUUCCGGCUCUAAGCGUAGUAACUUUUCUCGCUAUAGGGUCCGGAGGUCCGCUCGCCAGAACCCCCAAUUUUUCUAUGGUUGACCUCGGAUCAGGUAGGGAUACCCGCUGAACUUAAGCAUAUCAAUAAGCGGAGG
rnacentral:misc_RNA from 1 species